rnacentral:misc_RNA from 1 species
AACGCACCUUGCACUCCUUGGUAUUCCGAGGAGUAUGCCUGUUUGAGUGUCAUUAAAUUCUCAAAUCUUCGAAGUUUUAUCCGACUUUUGGAUGGUUUGGAUGUGAGAGUUGCUGGACUUUUUAUAAAGAUCAGCUCUCUUGAAAUACAUUAGUGGGUCGCAUGGUCCAUCUUCAAUUGGUGUGAUAGUUAUCUACGCCUUUGAAGGUUGAAUAACCCAAUGCAUAAAUUAUGAUCCUGCUUCUAACUGUCUUUUGACUUUUUUUGACCAUUUGACCUCAAAUCAGGUAGGACUACCCGCUGAACUUAA